GUGAGGAAUAUUGGUCAAUGGGCGAGAGCCUGAACCAGCCAAGUCGCGUGAAGGAAGAAGGAUCUAUGGUUCGUAAACUUCUUUUGCAGGGGAAUAAAGUGCAGGACGUGUCCUGUUUUGUAUGUACCCUGAGAAUAAGGAUCGGCUAACUCCGUGCCAGCAGCCACGGUAAUACGGAGGAUCCGAGCGUUAUCCGGAUUUAUUGGGUUUAAAGGGUGCGUAGGUGGUUUGAUAAGUCAGCGGGGAAAGUUUGCAGCUUAACUGUAAAAAUGCCGUUGAAACUGUCGGACUUGAGUGUAAAUGAGGUAGGCGGAAUGCGUGGUGUAGCGGUGAAAUGCAUAGAUAUCACGCAGAACUCCGAUUGCGAAGGCAGCUUACUAAGCUACAACUGACACUGAAGCACGAAAGCGUGGGGAUCAAACAGGAUUAGAUACCCGGGUAGUCC
rnacentral:rRNA from 1 species